GGAGUGGUGGUUCAGUGGUAGAAUUCUCACCUUCCAUGUGGAAGACCCGGGUUCAACUCCCAGCCAAUCCA
rnacentral:tRNA from 1 species